rnacentral:tRNA from 1 species
GAGAGAGGCUCGACAGCAACGAUAAUUGCUAACUUUCGUAUCCCCCGUUAAACCCGAGGGCUCCCUCG